GAGUGAGGAAUGAAUAAGGCAUGGUACACAACUACAAUGAUUGAGAGGCAAUGAAAAGUUAAGAGGCACAAAGCUCAGCAGAGAUGAUGAUGAUGGAUGUUGUGUACGUGUUCUUGAGUGAUGCUGGAUAUGAUGUUGGGGUAGCAUAGCAGGAGCUGUAAUA